GGAGGGUGCAGGGCGGCCGCUGUCGUGAGAACGAUAGAGGAAAGUCCGGACACCGCAGGGCAGGGAGGUCGUUAACGACGACCGGGGGCGACCCCAGGGAAAGGGCCACAGAAAAGGAGACCGCCUCGGGGGAUUUAUUCUCCGGGGCAAGGGUGAAAAGGCGGGGCAAGAGCCCGCCAGGGCGCCGGGUGACCGGCGUCAAUUGGCAACCCCCUCCCGGUGCAAGGCCAAAUAGGUUCCGCAAUAAGUGCGGCCCGUACUUGUUUCCCGCGAGGGAAUGGCGGAACGGGUUGGCCGCUUGAGCCGCGCGGCAACGCGCGGCCCAGUUGAAUGGCCGCCGGCCCGGGAAACCGGGCUUACAGGAUCCGGCUUACGGCGCCCUCCGGUA
rnacentral:RNase_P_RNA from 3 species